UUAAUGGAUUAUUACACAAUUUAAAGAAAACAAGAUAUUUAAAAGAUAAUAACUCUUUUCACUAAAUGCAUGCAGGGCAGUAACAGCCUACUCCUGUGAGAGACCCAUUGUUGUUAGGGAUUUCAGGCUCAGAUUCAUCAGCUUCCCACGAUACCUUACAAAUCUUAAUGGGAUUAUCUUUGUCAGACAAGACAUACUGCCACGGUAUCAUACUAUUAUUGCUCCACACUCUGCUUUCAUGAUUGUUUUGUUUUGCUUUGCUUUCUGUGGCUUUGGUUUGCCAGAUCUGAAAUUUAGGAUUUUUUUUUCUUUCUUUCUUUCUUUUUUUUUUUCCCCCAGAAUAUUUAGGAAUGCAUGUACAAGUAGAUACUAACUAACACUAUUCUCACUCUACUAUAUAGCCAAAUACAGGCCGUCACUGUGAACUAGUUUCUUUUUACUGUCACACAUCUGCAAUGUAGCGUGAGGUAGUUAUACUGAGGAUGUUUCUCCCUUUUGCUUUAGGUUUUUGAUAUUCUCUCAACAAUAGUAUCCCGAAGCAAAUCAAGGGGUUUAAUUAAGGCACUGUGAAAUUAGGCAGAGUCGUACGAAGGCUAUCAUUUCUACUAAUGUUUUCUUCCAAAUUUUAAAACCUUGAAAAAAAUCCCAUAUUGUAGAUAGGGAAAUAAGGCCAGAAGAAAUUGACUUGUCAUUUGAAAAGUUUUGUGAUUAGUGUAACAAAUUAAAUGGUUUGGGAUUUUUGCAAAGAGAAAUCAGCUUGUGAUUGCUCGUUAAUAGACUAGAGUAACCAUCUGCCAAUAGCCGAUGGUUCAUUUCAUUUAAGUGGAUGAAGCUGCUUUAUGAGCAAAAUAUGCUGGCCAAUGGUGAGUCUGCGUUACAGACUAGCAAGUGAAAAUCUUCAUUUUCCAUAGAAAAGGAUCUAAAAUUCCACAUUUAUCUUAAGUUUACAUACAAAGUGAAGAAAAACAAACAAAGUGUUGGAAAAAGUUACAAGGAAGAUACUAGCUUACUGGACCAAGUCAGUGGAUGAUCUCUGCUAUGAUUAGGAGUCUGAAGCCCAAGAUAUACAAGGAGAAGCUGAGACAGCUAAGUUUAUUCUGAGUGCCUUUUGAUCGCAUCCUGGAAAACGAAAAGUGAGAAGGAAAAAAAUACAGCAGAGGAAGGACAAUGUCAAAAUGUGGUAACAACUGGAACGCCACUGAAAAUCUAUUCCGGAGCCUGUAUUAUCAGUUAAAGAAUAAUACUUAUCUGUGUGCUUGACCUCACCACUCCCUGCAGUAUCUGGAAGAACACCUUCAACAUUUAUAUUUUGCAGUCUUUAUUGCAGCAUCCUUUUCUGCUGUUUUCUCUGGAGUGGAAUUAAAUUUUACAUUACUUAACAGAACUGUCUCUGUAUGGUUUCAGAACAGACUUUACUAUUGCAUUACCAGAUGCUGCAUUUACCUGAGCAUGGGUAACACACAGUAAUUCUAGGGUAGGGAGAGAAACUUAUUCAUGGUUGUCCAAACAAAAACGAGUCAAAUAUACGAUCCUAUAAAAAUAUCUAGUCCAUUUUCCUUUCUUUUAAGUAAACUGCUGCAGCUAUAUAGACACGUUUGCUUACGUGGCUGCUCAUUAGCUGUUGCUAGGCAGACCUGGCUUUCACCACUAGCAAUAAAUGAGUUACCUUCCAUGAGUUCCAUCCAAAGGUUUUGAGUGCUUCUCCCUCUGGUCCCUUCCAGGCCCCAGACGCUGCAGAUUGAAUACUGCAGUGCCCUUGUUUUCAUUCUCCCAGAAGAAAUUCUUUUACUUCCCGUGUAAAGGAUGGAUUUACCUGGCUUUACCAGAGGCUUAGUUUCUGUUCCUGUUUUUCAAACAUGUUGCCUUCAGGUUUUUUUUUUCGUUGUUGUUCUAGCUUGAUGCAACGUUGAUUCUGUAAGAUGGGAAGUUGCAGAGAUUAGCUUCCAUGUGUCCUUGGCAGACUGUUGUCAGGCUAUUCAACCUCCUAGUGCAAUUUUUAGUCCUUUGCCUGGCUGAGUUCACCAGAGGAUAAUCUCUGAUGGGACUGAGGUGGUAGCCCAUAGGCAGCUGGUUUUUUGGUUUGGUUCUCCUGAACUGAAGAUAUUAAGGUUUCUAUAAAAUCUCUUGCACUGAUGAGGCUAAAAUGGUAUUGAAGCUGUAGAAAAUACAGGUACAAGUUUGCAUUUUGUAAG